rnacentral:rRNA from 1 species
UAGGGAAUCUUCCGCAAUGGACGCAAGUCUGACGGAGCAACGCCGCGUGAGUGAAGAAGGUUUUCGGAUCGUAAAGCUCUGUUGUUAAGGAAGAACGAGUGUGAGAAUGGAAAGUUCAUACUGUGACGGUACUUAACCAGAAAGGGACGGCUAACUACGUGCCAGCAGCCGCGGUAAUACGUAGGUCCCGAGCGUUGUCCGGAUUUAUUGGGCGUAAAGCGAGCGCAGGCGGUUAGAUAAGUCUGAAGUUAAAGGCAGUGGCUCAACCAUUGUACGCUUUGGAAACUGUUUAACUUGAGUGCAGAAGGGGAGAGUGGAAUUCCAUGUGUAGCGGUGAAAUGCGUAGAUAUAUGGGGGAACACCGGUGGCGAAAGCGGCUCUCUGGUCUGUAACUGACGCUGAGGCUCGAAAGCGUGGGGAGCGAACAGG